UCCGUUACAUAGUGAGAUGUAAUGAAGCCUGUGUUUGGUAAAGAAUUUCAAGUCCCACCUAUUCCUAAACGUACAGACAAAAAGGAUCGGACGUAGGCUGAAAUUGUUCAUAUAUACAAUCUGGAAGCCAAACUGUGUGGAGCUAACUGAAGCCACAAAUAAUGGAUACGAAAAUGGAUGCUAUUUUCAGAGCCAUACCACUGAAUUGUUUUCCU